rnacentral:lncRNA from 1 species
UAAAAACAUUUUAAAAUUAUUAAACUAGUUUUUAAAUUAAGUUUAGUUAACUUAAUUGUUUUACAUAUGUGAUUUAAUUUAUGAACUAAAUAAAUAAUUUCGUUUUUUUAGUACAAUACAAUCAAAUUAAUUAACUAUAUAUUUUACAUUCCCAUAACAUCUAACCCUACAUUGCAGUUUUAUUUCAAAUAUGAUUUUUGUAUGUUUUAAGACGUGUCUUAAAGUCAUAUGCAUCAAAUUUUGUUAGUGUUAUUUGGGGCAUUUAGAAGCAAAUGAACAAAAAAGACAUUGGAAUAAUCACCUUGACUUGCAAGAUGGUAUAUUUAAUCAAGCAAAUAAACUACUAUCAAAUUAUACAAAGGCAAUUAAAUAGAAAUUGAUAUAUGCAUCAGAGACGAAUCAGGCCAAUUUAUUCCUGCCAAGAGAGAAUGGUUUACGCCUAUUUAUGUUCAUAUACGAGAAGUACUUGAAUUACUAUUAGCGUUGAUUUGGUUCAUUGAUCCCAGCUUGGUCUUGUUGAUCUUGAAUUGGAUUAUGAUCAACUUUGAGUAUCGUAAUGUGAAUGUCAGUAAAUUUGGUGAUAUCAUAUCUAAUUGUUGGCGUACAAUUUUUUUAUUUAUAGAAACUCUUUGUUAAAUUUGUUAAGAGACAAAUAAUUCUUACAAAAGCGCUUACAUCUCUAGUUAGUUUUCAAUUAUUCUGAACUAGAUUGUAUCUAUGAUGCAUAUAUACAUAUAUUGAUGAUAUAUGAUAUUUAAAAAAGAAACAAUGUACGAAUCACGUCAAAGGAAAAAAUAAUUCUUUUAUAUAAUUUAAUUAAAAGAGUUAGACUAUUCAAUUUAUAAUACAAAAUUACAAAUAAAAAUUUAAAAAAUAAAAAAUUGUAUUAACAUAAAAAAAAGGUCAAAAAUUGUAUUUGAUUUAACAACAAAUAUAUUCGACUCACAAAUUUUCCAUAGCAUUGUAUUUGUAUUAAAGCGUAUUAUCAUGAAUGAAAUGAAAUAAUUAUAAAAAAAAAUGAUCGACCAUAUAUUAUUUAAAACCAAUUUAACCAAUGUAAUUAAAGUUCUUUCAAAGAGUUCACAUCUUACAAGAUAUUGCAUCUUAAUACAUAGGUGAGGAUUUGAAUUUCCCACAUAUGGUUAAGAGGCUUAAAAUUGCCACAUUAAUGUUGGUAGAUCACAUAGUAUUAUAUUUUUAUUGUAGAAUAUUAUAAAUGUAAACAGAAUAGAAAGCCUUAAAUUAUAACGCAAAUAUAUAUAUUAUUUUUUGAUUGUAGAGUAUUAUAAAAACAAACAGAAUUGAAAGUCCUUAAUUAUAAAUUAACACAAAAAUAUACUAUGGCAAAACCAAACUUAACAGUAGAUACUUUUGCAACAAAAUAUUUUAUAAAAAAAGAAAAAGAAAAACUUACUAGUAAUAUAUUAGUAAUUAGGAAGCAAGCAUGGAGUGGAUGAUCCAUGACCAUGACUAUAAUUAAUAAUAAGGAGGGCGUGGCGGCGGAGGACCGGGAUGACCAGGCUGCGGAGGCGGUGGGCCGGGAUGACCAUGCCGUGGCGGCGGUGGUGUAUGAUGGAGGUGCACAACCGGCGGUGGCGGUGAUGGAGCGUAAGGAUUUGGAGGAGGGGGUGGAUGGUGGAAGACAGGUGGUGGCGGUGGAGCAAAAGGUUCAGGAGGCGGUGGAGGGUGGUGGGAGUGGGACAUAGGCGGACCUGGAGCGAGUGGUGGCCCCCUUCCGAUGGGAGGUCCUGGUGGUGGUGGAGUAUGCCUAUGGUUGUGAGGGUAACUCAUGGUUUGCUUAAUUAUGAUUUAUUUUUGCAAUGAAUUAAAAACACUAUAGUACUAGUAUCUACCUCAAUAUAAUAUUAUAUAUAGACACAUUUGAUGUGAGGGAGAGGAGAAGCUUCAAAAUAUGAUGACGUUGGGGACUGACUUACAAGUAUGUAUGUAUGGUUGAGAAUUCAUCACAAUGAGACUGGUUGGUGGUUGUUCACAUCUUCUUCUACUGUGCACUUCAUUAUUAAAUAAUUAAUAUAUCGCUAACUUAGACACUAAGCAUAAACAAAAAUAUUAAUUUGCUCUAAUUACUUCUAUUUGUAAAUAAUACAGAGAAGGGAGUAAAUUACGGAUAACACAUGUCGGCUACGGUCUUACAACAUAUUGGAUAACGG